rnacentral:rRNA from 1 species
AGAACGAACGCUGGCGGCAUGCCUAACACAUGCAAGUCGAACGUGAUCCAGGCUUCGGCCUGGUGAAAGUGGCAGACGGGUGAGUAACGCGUGGGAACCUGCCCUGUGGUAGGGAAUAACCGUGGGAAACUGCGGCUAAUACCCUAUGAGUCCUUCGGGAGAAAGAUUUAUCGCCAUAGGAGGGGCCCGCGUCGGAUUAGGUAGUUGGUGGGGUAACGGCCUACCAAGCCUUCGAUCCGUAGCUGGUCUGAGAGGAUGAUCAGCCACACUGGGACUGAGAUACGGCCCAGACUCCUACGGGAGGCAGCAGUGGGGAUAUUGGACAAUGGGGGCAACCCUGAUCCAGCAAUGCCGCGUGGAUGAUGAAGGCCUUCGGGUUGUAAAGUCCUUUCGGCGGGGAAGAUGAUGACGGUACCGCAGAAGAACGCCCGGCUAACUUCGUGCCAGCAGCCGC